rnacentral:rRNA from 1 species
GAGUUUGAUCAUGGCUCAGGACGAACGCUGGCGGCGUGCUUAACACAUGCAAGUGGAGCGACGAACCAGGCUUCGGCCUGGGGCAAAGCCGCGAACGGGGUGAGUAACACGUGGGUAACCUGCCCCGAUGAUUGGGACAACCCGAGGAAACUCGGGCUAAUACCGAAUGUGCCCUCCGGCCUCAAGGCCGCUGGGGAAAGGAAGCUUCGGCCUCCGCGUCGGGAUGGGCCCCGCGGCCCAUUAGCUUGUUGGUGAGGUAACGGCUCACCAAGGCUACGAUGGGUAGCUGGUCUGAGAGGACGAUCAGCCACACUGGGACUGAGACACGGCCCAGACUCCUACGGGAGGCAGCAGUGGGGAAUCUUGCGCAAUGCGCGAAAGCGUGACGCAGCAACGCCGCGUGGGGGAAGACGGCCU